GAUGAACGCUGGCGGCGUGCCUAAUACAUGCAAGUCGAGCGAACGGACGAGAAGCUUGCUUCUCUGAUGUUAGCGGCGGACGGGUGAGUAACACGUGGAUAACCUACCUAUAAGACUGGGAUAACUUCGGGAAACCGUAGCUAAUACCGGAUAAUAUUUUGAACCGCAUGGUUCAAAAGUGAAGGACGGUCUUGCGGUCACUUAUAGAUGGAUCCGCGCUGCAUUAGCUAGUUGGUAAGGUAACGGCUUACCAAGGCAACGAUGCAUAGCCGACCUGAGAGGGUGAUCGGCCACACUGGAACUGAGACACGGUCCAGACUCCUACGGGAGGCAGCAGUAGGGAAUCUUCCGCAAUGGGCGAAAGCCUGACGGAGCAACGCCGCGUGAGUGAUGAAGGUCUUCGGAUCGUAAAACUCUGUUAUUAGGGAAGAACAUAUGUGUAAGUAACUGUGCACAUCUUGACGGUACCUAAUCAGAAAGCCACGGCUAACUACGUG
rnacentral:rRNA from 1 species